UACGUAGGGUGCAGGCGUUAAUCGGAAUUACUGGGCGUAAAGGGCGCGUAGGCGGCCUGCUAAGUCGGAUGUGAAAUCCCUCGGCUCAACCGAGGAACUGCAUCCGAUACUGGCGGGCUUGAAUCCGGGAGAGGGAUGUGGAAUUCCGAGGUGAUAGCGGUGAAAUGGCAGUAGAUAUCGUGGAGGAACACCGGUGGCGUAAGGCGGCAUCCUGGACCG
rnacentral:rRNA from 1 species